UACGUAGGGUGCGAGCGUUAAUCGGAAUUACUGGGCGUAAAGCGUGCGCAGGCGGUUUGCUAAGACCGAUGUGAAAUCCCCGGGCUUAACCUGGGAACUGCAUUGGUGACUGGCAGGCUAGAGUAUGGCAGAGGGGGGGUAGAAUUCCACGUGUAGCAGUGAAAUGCGUAGAGAUGUGGAGGAAUACCCGAUGGCGAAGGCAGCCCCCUGGGCCAAUACUGA
rnacentral:rRNA from 1 species